rnacentral:rRNA from 1 species
AGCAGCCGCGGUAAUUCCAGCUCCAAUAGCGUAUAUUAAAGUUGUUGCAGUUAAAAAGCUCGUAGUUGAAUUUCGGGGUUAGUAGGCUGGUCGUGCCACAGGUAUGCACUGGUCUUACUGAUUCCUCCUUCCUGAUGAACCGUAAUGCCAUUAAUUUGGUGUUGCGGGGAAACUGGACUGUUACUUUGAAAAAUUAGAGUGUUUAAAGCAAGCUAACGCUUGAAUACAUUAGCAUGGAAUAAUGAAAUAGGACGAUCGAUCCUAUUUUGUUGGUUUCUAGGAUUGACGUAAUGAUUAAUAGGGAUAGUUGGGGGCAUUAGUAUUCAAUUGUCAGAGGUGAAAUUCUUGGAUUUAUUGAAGACUAACUACUGCGAAAGCAUUUGCCAAGGAUGUUUUCAUUAAUCAAGAACGAAAGUUAGGGGAUCGAAGACGAUCAGAUACCGUCGUAGUCUUAACCAUAAACUAUGCCGACUAGGGAUCGGAUGAUGUUAAUUUUUUAAUGGUCUCAUUCGGCGCCUUA